rnacentral:rRNA from 1 species
GAUGAACCAYUUCGGUGGGGAUUAGUGGCGAACGGGUGAGUAACRCGUGGGCAAUCUGCCCUUCACUCUGGGACAAGCCCUGGAAACGGGGUCUAAUACCGGAUAACACUGCGGAUCGCAUGGUCUGCGGUUAAAAGCUCCGGCGGUGAAGGAUGAGCCCGCGGCCUAUCAGCUUGUUGGUGAGGUAGUGGCUCACCAAGGCGACGACGGGUAGCCGGCCUGAGAGGGCGACCGGCCACACUGGGACUGAGACACGGCCCAGACUCCUACGGGAGGCAGCAGUGGGGAAUAUUGCACAAUGGGCGAAAGCCUGAUGCAGCGACGCCGCGUGAGGGAUGACGGCCUUCGGGUUGUAAACCUCUUUCAGCAGGGAAGAAGCGAAAGUGACGGUACCUGCAGAAGAAGCGCCGGCUAACUACGUGCCAGCAGCCGCGGUAAUACGUAGGGCGCAAGCGUUGUCCGGAAUUAUUGGGCGUAAAGAGCUCGUAGGCGGCUUGUCACGUCGAUUGUGAAAGCCCGAGGYUUAACCUCGGGUCUGCAGUCGAUACGGGCUAGCUAGAGUGUGGUAGGGGAGAUCGGAAUUCCUGGUGUAGCGGUGAAAUGCGCAGAUAUCAGGAGGAACACCGGUGGCGAAGGCGGAUCUCUGGGCCAUUACUGACGCUGAGGAGCGAAAGCGUGGGGAGCGAACAGGAUUAGAUACCCUGGUAGUCCACGCCGUAAACGGUGGGAACUAGGUGUUGGCGACAUUCCACGUCGUCGGUG